ensembl:lncRNA LOC120095690 uncharacterized LOC120095690
CAAAUUCAGCAAUUGCCAAGCUUAUGCAGUGAAGUAAACCACUGGAAACAGGAAGCUGGUGAAGAUGUAAUUGAACAAGAGGGGCAUGUUCUAGCCCCAGCAAGCAGCAGGACUUGGAAGCUUUGGCCAAGUGAUUCCGGGUUUAGAGUCAAGAACUCUUGACUCUAAAUUAUUGGAUUGAGUUAUGAAAUCUCCCUUUAUGACUAAGGAAAGUCACUGAGGUCAGUUGGGUGGCAGGAGGCUCAGAGGGGCCAUUGAGUGAAGCUGUGAAGGUGAAAUCUGGAUUUCCUCGGAGACCCCAAGAGGAACCAACAAUGGAAAACUUUUAUCCCAGCUAAUGAGAACCACAAAGCCGUAAACUACCUCACCACAGGGUGAGGGGAAAGGGCUGCCGUGGGUCCGUCUGCACAGGAGUUCCUCAGAGGAAGUCUGAAAAGCAUCGCACUGAGGAGCUGACUGAAGGUGUUGGACAGAUGGUGUGGUGACUGACUCUUCACAGUGUGGAGGAUCUUCUCUGAGAGGAGUCAGAAACUCUGGAGGUGACCUUCGCUGACCCAGUCAGCUUCUCACAGGAGAGCUCACCAGCUGCACACACCACUGAUCUGGAGGAGGAAAGGAAUGCAGUUUUUGCUGAGAGAUGUAUAAAGUUCGUGGGGAUAAGCAGUGAUUGGCGAGACUCUCGGAAUUCACCUCUUGCCAUCGGCUCACUGAAAUCAGUCUGAUGUCUUGGUUACAAAUCCAACUUCGACACUUGUGUGUGCUCCCAAUGCUGCUGCUGACCUCCCUGCUCCCUUAGCUGUAAAGCAUAAACAAUCCAGUUGGUAACACUCAUCUGCAAAUGUUGCUGAGAAAUCAGAAGAAAUAAGAAAAAGAAGUCAUUUCAAAGUCGGUUUUUGUGUGCAUGUAUGGCUGGGUACCUCAUGCAUGCAGUGCCCUGGAGGCCAGAAGACUUUGGAUUCCCCUGGAACUGGCGUUAUGGACGGUUGUGAGCCAUUAAAUGGGUUCUGGUAAACGAACCUGUGUCUUCUGCAUGAAGGACAACUGCUUUUAAAGCAUUUCACCAUCUCUCCUGCCCACGCAAAGUUGAUUUUUAAAAUAAACUUUAUUAUAAAAAAAAAACCUGGGAAUAAAGAACAUCAUGGACUAAAAUUAACCAGACCCAAAGUCUGCACAUCAACGACGAACAAGAGGUUUAAGUGAAACACAAAAAUAAAUGACUAAAAAAUCAUAAUAACAGGGAGGCCUCAGGGAACAGAAGGGAGCAAGUUUGAAAGGAAUCGCUAGCAGGUACAAAGUAUCCCUCCUCCUCUCCCCCUGAGAACAUUCAUACGUCUCAAGGAAGCUUCUAGAAUCCAUAUUCUCUCACACAAAGCCUUAACUGCCCCUGUGGGUUUUAUUCUGACAGCAGUCCUCAGGGCAGCAAGUAGACAGUAGAUGCUUCUACCAUAGAAGUCGUCCCUCUAAGGAGAGCAGAUGUCCAACUGUCUGGAAGAGAAUUUAUCACAAGCAUCUUCGCUUCCUCGAAAGGCCAUUGCUGGUCAGUUUGUGCCCAGGGCAGUUCUGUGAGACUAGGGCAACAAUUUUGGCAGCUGUAGAUUGUGGGGAGUCACUGUUUCUUGGGGGGCUUGUCCUACAGCAGCCAGGGGCCCGGAAGUCUCUGGAAGGAAAAAGACCUUGUUGGCAAAGCCCCCCCACUCAAUGCCUUACUAGUGCAUUUGAGGCUGCUCCCUUGAUCUCUGCCCCUGAGUCUGGUUUUAACCCGAAUGUAGAUGGUACAUACUUACCCCUCAAUGCAAAUAUGUAAAUAGAUACAAAUAUGCAUUUUACAUGUAUAGGUGAGCCCUUUGCAAAUGUGAAGAAAAAAUUCUUGUGAAUUGUCUUU